AGCGAACGCUGGCGGCAGGCCUAACACAUGCAAGUCGAACGGGCACCUUCGGGUGUCAGUGGCAGACGGGUGAGUAACACGUGGGAACGUGCCCUUUGGUUCGGGACAACUCCGGGAAACUGGAGCUAAUACCGGAUACGCCCUUUUGGGGAAAGAUUUAUCGCCGAAGGAUCGGCCCGCGUCUGAUUAGCUAGUUGGUGAGGUAACGGCUCACCAAGGCGACGAUCAGUAGCUGGUCUGAGAGGAUGAUCAGCCACACUGGGACUGAGACACGGCCCAGACUCCUACGGGAGGCAGCAGUGGGGAAUAUUGGACAAUGGGCGCAAGCCUGAUCCAGCCAUGCCGCGUGAGUGAUGAAGGCCCUAGGGUUGUAAAGCUCUUUUGUCCGGGAAGAUAAUGACUGUACCGGAAGAAUAAGCCCCGGCUAACUUCGUGCCAGCCGCCGCGGUAAUA
rnacentral:rRNA from 1 species